ACGCUGGCGGCGUGCCUAAUACAUGCAAGUCGAGCGAAGUUUUUCUGGUGCUUGCACCGGAAAAACUUAGCGGCGAACGGGUGAGUAACACGUAAAGAACCUGCCUCAUAGACUGGGACAACUAUUGGAAACGAUAGCUAAUACCGGAUAACAGCAUUAACUGCAUGGUUGAUGUUUAAAAGUUGGUUUUGCUAACACUAUGAGAUGGCUUUGCGGUGCAUUAGCUAGUUGGUGGGGUAAAGGCCUACCAAGGCGACGAUGCAUAGCCGACCUGAGAGGGUGAUCGGCCACACUGGGACUGAGACACGGCCCAGACUCCUACGGGAGGCAGCAGUAGGGAAUCUUCCGCAAUGGGCGAAAGCCUGACGGAGCAACGCCGCGUGAGUGAAGAAGGAUUUCGGUUCGUAAAGCUCUGUUGUUAGGGAAGAAUGAUUGUGUAGUAACUAUACACAGUAGAGACGGUACCUAACCAGAAAGCCACGGCUAACUACGUGCCAGCAGCCGCGGUAAUACGUAGGUGGCAAGCGUUGUCCGGAAUUAUUGGGCGUAAAGCGCGCGCAGGUGGUUUAAUAAGUCUGGUGUGAAAGCCCACGGCUCGACCGUGGAGGGUCAUUGGAAACUGUUAAACUUGAGUGCAGGAGAGAAAAGUGGAAUUCCUAGUGUAGCGGUGAAAUGCGUAGAGAUUAGGAGGAACACCAGUGGCGAAGGCGGCUUUUUGGCCUGUAACUGACACUGAGGCGCGAAAGCGUGGGGAGCAAACAGGAUUAGAUACCCUGGUAGUCCACGCCGUAAACGAUGAGUGCUAAGUGUUGGUCUCAUAAGAGAUCAGUGCUGCAGCUAACGCAUUAAGCACUCCGCCUGGGGAGUACGACCGCAAGGUUGAAACUCAAAGGAAUUGACGGGGA
rnacentral:rRNA from 1 species